CCUACGGUCUCAGCAGUGGGGAAUAUUGGACAAUGGGCGAAAGCCUGAUCCAGCCAUGCCGCGUGUGUGAAGAAGGCCUUCGGGUUGUAAAGCACUUUCAGUGGGGAAGAAAGCCUUGGGGCUAAUACCCUCGAGGAAGGACAUCACCCACAGAAGAAGCACCGGCUAACGCCGUGCCAGCAGCCGCGGUAAUACGGAGGGUGCGAGCGUUAAUCGGAAUUACUGGGCGUAAAGCGCGCGUAGGCGGUCUGAUAAGCCGGUUGUGAAAGCCCCGGGCUCAACCUGGGAACGGCAUCCGGAACUGUCAGGCUAGAGUGCAGGAGAGGAAGGUAGAAUUCCCGGUGUAGCGGUGAAAUGCGUAGAGAUCGGGAGGAAUACCAGUGGCGAAGGCGGCCUUCUGGACUGACACUGACGCUGAGGUGCGAAAGCGUGGGUAGCAAACAGGAUUAGAUACCCCAGUAGUC
rnacentral:rRNA from 1 species